UGGGGAAUAUUGGACAAUGGGCGAAAGCCUGAUCCAGCCAUGCCGCGUGUGUGAAGAAGGUCUUCGGAUUGUAAAGCACUUUAAGUUGGGAGGAAGGGUUGUAGAUUAAUACUCUGCAAUUUUGACGUUACCGACAGAAUAAGCACCGGCUAACUCUGUGCCAGCAGCCGCGGUAAUACAGAGGGUGCAAGCGUUAAUCGGAAUUACUGGGCGUAAAGCGCGCGUAGGUGGUUUGUUAAGUUGGAUGUGAAAUCCCCGGGCUCAACCUGGGAACUGCAUUCAAAACUGACAAGCUAGAGUAUGGUAGAGGGUGGUGGAAUUUCCUGUGUAGCGGUGAAAUGCGUAGAUAUAGGAAGGAACACCAGUGGCGAAGGCGACCACCUGGACUGAUACUGACACUGAGGUGCGAAAGCGUGGGGAGCAAACAGGAUUAGAUACCCCUGUAGUCCCUGAGCGGGCUGGCAAGGCGCAU
rnacentral:rRNA from 1 species